AGUACUUCCUCAGUUACAUUAGCUGCAUUUCCAAUUUUAUUUUUAUUAUUUGUUAUUAUUAUUAUUAUUUUUGGCUGUGCACGUGGCAUGCAGAAGUUCCCAGGCCAGGGAUCGAAUUCACACCACAGCAGUGACAAUGCCAGAUGUUUAACUGCUAGGCCACCAGGGAAUUCCUAUAAUUUGGUAUUCUCUUCCUCAAAGAGACCCUCAAUAUUUUAUUAACUUCAGAGUCUAUAAAACUGGUUGGAAAGACCAUAUCUUGUGCCUCUUUGAAUCCUUUUAAACUUGGUUUAGUAAUGCUGAUCAUCAUAAUGAUGAUGAUUCUGAGACUUACAGAGCAUUUACAAGGCAUUCUCAGUCAUCUCAUUGGAUCCUUACAAACUAAAAGUUAGGCAUGGCCAUUGCCACUUUUACAGAUGACAAAACUGACUGCAGAGACACAAAGUGAUUUUUGCCUAAGGCCACCUAGCUAGUAAGUGACGGAGCCAGAGCUGAAGCUCAAGACUAUGGAUUCCAGAUGUCAUGCUUCCUCCUCUUAGGUUUUUGCUGCCUGUGGGUUCUGAAAGCCUUUCCAGCACUUACGGGAGGAUGCUCCUCCCCACCCCACCCCAUGCAGACCCAUUCGAAGAGCACUCCAUCUCCAUCCAACAAUUAUCUAAGUUGAAGUCGUCCAUCCUGCAUUUUUAAGUUAUUUUCCAGAUAAUGAACAUUUUUAACCAAUACAGGGUGCCCGAUACUAAUCACACAGAGCAAUCCGUAGGUGUAGGAAUUGCAUUUACCUUCCAAGCCCUAAUUGUGUUCAUUUCUUUGGGAGAACUUCUUCAACUGCCUGUCUUCAAGAGACUCUUAAAGCUCCCAAGAAAUUGCUAAGUGAUACUAGGAAUACACUUGCCUGAAUCUAGAGAUUUUGGGUAAGUAGCCUCUAAUUUAUCAUUUUACAUUACAGAAAGCCUGGAGAAUUAUAUAAAAGCCUUUGGCUUUUGCAGCUGUAUGUAAAAAUAUUCCCAAACUAGAGGAGCCCUCGAUCAUUAAUGAUGUCUAAACACUGACCCUGGAGAAAUCACUGUGUGUCUAGUCAUUCCCAAGGACAUGCCAGCUGUAAAAGCCAUGCAAGGAAGUACCUCCACCAGCAGGCCCUUGUCUUCUUUCCCAGACUUAAGCUGUCAGUGGAAAAGAGGUAAACAGAGACAGAAGUUGAGAACUCAGUCUCUGGAGUCGGGCCAGGCUGGGUGUGACCCUAGCUCCACCCCUUACCAGCUGUGGGGCUUAUGCAUAUCGCUUAACUUCAUUCAUCGAUUCCACAAAUAGUUGCUCAGUGAGCACCUACUAAAUGCCAGCUGACCAUUGUAGGUACUGAGACAAAGGAGUGAAAAAACAAAACUAUUGGAGUUCCUGAUGUGGCACAAAGGAACAUCAGUGGUGUCUUGGGAGCGCUGUGACUCAGGUUUAAUUCCAGAUAGGCACAGUGGGUUAAGAAUCAGGCAUUGCUGCAGCUCAAUAUUUAGCCUCGAUUUUAGAUUUUAAAAACAUUUGGUAUUGCUUGUUUAUAUUUUGAGCCACUCCAAAACCCUGCUUUUUAGAAAAUUCUUGAGGGAUUUCCCUCAGUGGGGCAUGUAUGAGAAACAGUCUCUGGAGCUUUGGGCCACAUGGACGGGAACUGUGAGGGCAACGGGAGAGUUACGUCCACUUGGUGAACACAGCCAUGGUCAUGAUCAGAACUUGCUCAGGUGGCCUUUGCACAGAUAUUCAUAGAAGAGCUUCCUUUUCGGUUUUAUUCUGAAGGGAUUCUGCUGAUACUAUUUUUACCACUGGAAUUUCUGUCUGCCCAGAACACAAUUUUAAAGUUUCAAAUGAAACAUUUACCUGAAUCCCUGACAUUACAGCUCACAUUCAUUUCCUUUCCUCUUGCCCUCCAGGUCUCAGCAGUGAGAUGGCCCAACCAAGAAAGAGAUCCCCCCCGACUCCUGCUCAGAUCUGAUACCUGGGCUUUUCCUUGGGCCUCUCUGGGAUGUACCAAAACCCAAAGCCCAUGUACUGGCCAACCCUCCUUGGUACAGACACCAGGUCCAGAAUCACUCUGUCUUUGACAGUCAAGUGCACGGUCCUUUUCUCCUGCUCCCAAAGGAUCACACUAUCCUUCCUUGGUCUUUUUGUCAUUGAGAAUCCAUUUCCCAUUGGGAUCUGGAGUUCACUUCCUUGCCUCAAAUUUUUGAGAUGGGUUGAAACAAUAAGUAAGGUCAAAUUGUAUGAAAUUGCCAAAUAUCAGCUAUUUUUUUUUUUUUUUAACCUAAAGGAAGGAAGGAGGGGAGGAAGAAAAGCUUAAAGAAGCCAGGGCUGGAAAUAGGUAACUACUCAUCUAUUCUGCUCUUUAAUGAUAAUUGUAGUUGAUGGAAUGUUUCCUCUUUAUGAAGUACUGGGCCAAGCAAAAUUUUACAUACAUCAUCUCAGUCAUUGUAGCAAGUGCAUGAAGUCCAGCUCCCUCUAUCAUCUCAUUCAAUUUCCAGUUUAAGGAUGCAAAACUGAGGGUCAGAGUUGUCAAGAGUCUUUCCCAAGGUCCUUCAACUCUAACCAGAGAAGCCAAGAGCUAUAUGCUAUAUCUUCUAUGUGACAAGGAUGGAUUACAAAUCAUUAAUCUCAAUAACUUCCACUACCUUCUUGUAAUCACCUAUGUUGUCAUUAUUAUAAGAGUAAUAGUGUUCAAUAUAGGAAAUCUGAAAAUUGUAUAACAUAUGACAGAAAAAAAUUAAAAAUGCAUAAAUCAAAGAUAAGUUCUACUAAUAUUCUGGAGUCUCUCUCAUUCUGUUUUUCUGAUUUAUUCUGCUUUUUAACAAAUUUGGAAUUGUCCUGUUUAUAUUGCUUUGUACCCUGCCUUAAAAAAAUAAAUACUAUGUCAUGAGUAUUAUUCCAAAUCAUUAAAAAUUCUCCAAAAAAGUGUUUGGUCGCAUUAUAUUGAUAUAUAAGUACUAUAACAUUAAUUGUUCAAUUGUUUUCUUCUUGUUGGAAAAUAAGUUCAUGUAUUUUGCUGUUAUAUGAUAAAGAUCCUUGAACAAAAGUCUCUGUUUUUAGUCCCCAGUGGCAGCCAAGUUUGUCUUAGAGAUGAUCUCCUUCUGACAAAUGUCAUCAGUUACAUUUUCUGGUUGUUUAGUCACAAUGGAGUUGAUACAGCACACCUGCUGGGAGCUGACACAGCUGUGCCUGUGGUGUGAGGGCCAGGCCAAAGGCCAACAACGGGCAGAGUGGCUGGGCCUGCCACUGCCCACUCCACUCGGUGCUGGGCUCAGCCUGGUGAGGACUUCCUGGGGGAAGUGGGAGGAGCAGAAGUGGCGGAAGCAGGGAGAGCGCAAGUGUGGCUACUGUCCUGCACCCCUGAGAGCUCACCAGCGGCACAGAGCAGCUCACCUUGGUCCAGCCUUGGCACGUAGGGUGGCACCUAUCAUGUGGCUUGGGACACUGCACGUGUCCUCAGGCCUUCCUUCUGCAGCACACUUUCUAACCACCACAAACAAAACAGAGGACAGUGAGCAAAACACUUCCUUUUAGUUCCUCUUACCUUCCUUCAAUCCCCAAACCUACUUGUAAGUGGUCAAACUCACUUUCCCCACUCAGAGAAGAAAGGAGGGGGCUGACUUCUUUCACUGGGGACAGGGAGAAGAAAGGAAAGGGAAGAAGGCAGAAACAUAGCCAUUAGACUACAUUACCAGUUUCAUCUCUGGCUUCAUGCUUUCUUUCCUAAAGACUCACAUUUUGUAAUAUUUUAAAGCACUUAACUCAGUAAGAUUUAUUGAAUGUGUACUAUGUGCAAAGCACUGUGUUUAAGGCAGUGGAGAAUGGAAAUGGCCAAGGCCUAUCUUAAAAAAAAAAAAAAAAAA
rnacentral:lncRNA from 1 species